rnacentral:misc_RNA from 1 species
CAAUAACUUUGCAUUUAGAGUAGUCAUUUCCUCGCGUAUUUUGUACAUGAAUUUGUUCAUGAAAACUGUAAACAGUUCAAACAACAAACAAUAACAUUACACAGCACAGUAGCAACUGGGUCAAACCAUCAGCCUUUCUGGCUCCAAUCACUCAUUUGACCAAUUUGGACAAUACUAUUUUCAGUCAAGUACUCGACAAAUUCAUCUAUAAGAUAUGGCCAAGCUCCUUCAGCAUCAUAGUUUGUUAAUGCAGGGUCCACAUUCCUUGCAAAUUCCAGGAGCUGAGACCAAGUAUCCCGUGAAAUAGCCUUGUUAUGCCUUGCCUGCAAAAACUGACACCAAUGCUCAACCAAUGGCCACUCCUUUUCAGCAAACAGCAAUUGCCACAUCCCAAUAGCCGUGUCCAAGGCCAAAGAUUUCUGACCCUUCUCCUUUGCCCAGCUGAAAGCAAAGUUGUAAAUCUCACGGAAUUUAUGUUCAUCUUUCAUCUCUGAUCGCAUAAAUGGCAAUUUCUCUCUGAGCUUUUCCAAUGAAUCUAUUCCGAGAGAUUGUAAUCCACCAAU